AUAAAUAUACAUGUAAAUAUACGCAGUAGUAUGAUUGCUAGAUCAAAUAGUAAUUCUAAUUUUAGUUUUCUGAGAAAUCUCCAUACUGUUUUCCAUAGCAGUUAUACUAGUUUCCAUUCC